rnacentral:sRNA from 1 species
GUCUUUUGGCCCAACCUUCGCACUCUAACCCCGUGCAUCUGUAUUAAUGCCUAGCAGUUUCUGAUUGUGAGCCAUUUCACUUUUAAACACGAGCUAUGAAUGUAACUUUUUUAUAACAAUAAAAACUUUCAAGAACGGAUCUCUUGGCUCUCGCAUCGAUGAUUAACGCAGCAAAUUGCGAUACGUAAUGUGAAUUGCGAAAUUCAGUGAAUCAUCGAAUCUUUGAACGCAUCUUGCGCUCUCUGGAAUUCCGGAGAGCAUGUCUGUUUGAGUGUCAUGAAUUCUUCACCCAUCUGUUUUUUGUAAACAGCUGGUGUUUGGAUUCUGACCGCUGCGGGGUUCUGCCUGGCUCGUUCGUAAUACGUCAGAAUCCCUAAUACAUCGGGAUGACUUGGCGUUAUACACUAUUCCUAAGGAGUCAAUGUUCCGUUGAUCCAACUUAGUUUGGCACCUUCGAAUUGAGAAGUCUACCUUUACAU